rnacentral:rRNA from 1 species
CCCAGACUCCUACGGGAGGCAGCAGUGGGGAAUAUUGCACAAUGGGGGAAACCCUGAUGCAGCGACGCCGCGUGAGUGAAGAAGUAUUUCGGUAUGUAAAGCUCUAUCAGCAGGAAAGAAAAUGACGGUACCUGACUAAGAAGCCCCGGCUAACUACGUGCCAGCAGCCGCGGUAAUACGUAGGGGGUAAGCGUUAUCCGGAUUUACUGGGUGUAAAGGGAGCGUAGACGGAAAGGCAAGUCAGAAGUGAAAACCCAAGGCUCAACCAUGGGACUGCUUUUGAAACUGUCAAACUAGAGUACGGGAGAGGUAAGAGGAAUUCCUGGUGUAGCGGUGAAAUGCGUAGAUAUCUGGAGGAACAUCAGUGGCGAAGGCGACUAUCUGGCACAUAACUGACGCUGAGGAGCGAAAGCGUGGGUAGCAAACAGGAUUAGAUACCCUUGUACG